rnacentral:rRNA from 1 species
CGUACACUCCUACGGCAGGCAGCAGUGGGGAAUUUUGGACAAUGGGCGAAAGCCUGAUCCAGCCAUGCCGCGUGCAGGAUGAAGGCCUUCGGGUUGUAAACUGCUUUUGUACGGAACGAAACGGCCUUUUCUAAUAAAGAGGGCUAAUGACGGUACCGUAAGAAUAAGCACCGGCUAACUACGUGCCAGCAGCCGCGGUAAUACGUAGGGUGCAAGCGUUAAUCGGAAUUACUGGGCGUAAAGCGUGCGCAGGCGGUUAUGUAAGACAGUUGUGAAAUCCCCGGGCUCAACCUGGUAACUGCAUCUGUGACUGCAUAGCUAGAGUACGGUAGAGGGGGAUGGAAUUCCGCGUGUAGCAGUGAAAUGCGUAGAUAUGCGGAGGAACACCGAUGGCGAAGGCAAUCCCCUGGACCUGUACUGACGCUCAUGCACGAAAGCGUGGGGAGCAAACAGGAUUAGAUACCCGAGUAGUCCCAUGA